rnacentral:rRNA from 1 species
CCUACGGGAGGCAGCAGUGGGGAAUAUUGCACAAUGGGGGAAACCCUGAUGCAGCGACGCCGCGUGAGUGAAGAAGUAUCUCGGUACGUAAAGCUCCAUCAGCAGGGAAGAAACUGACGGUACCUGACUAACAAGCCCCGGCUAACUACGAGCCAGCAGCCGCGGUAAUACGUAGGGUGCAAGCGUUAUCCGGAUUUACUGGGUGUAAAGGGAGCGUAGGCGGCACUACAAGUCUGGAGGUAAAUCCCGGGGCUUAAACCCGGAACUGCUGUGGAAACUGGGCGGCUGGAGUGCAGGAGGGGUAUGCGGAAUGCGUGGUGUAGCGGUGAAAUGCGUAGAUAUUACGAAGAACACCGAUGGCGAAGGCAGCUUACUGGAGUGUAACUGACGUUGAGGCACGAAAGCGUGGGGAGCGAACAGGAUUAGAUACCCUUGUAGUC